UGCUUUUGCUUUGACAGGGUAUUGUUUCCAACCUAAUUGUGUGUAGACCUUUUUGUAAUUGGUAGGCUCUGGUGGCUACUUUGGUGGACCCCUUUCCAACCUAUACUUUGAUUAUAUGGAUUUUGAAUCUACAGUUUAUUUCUGACUUAUGAUCAGAGUAAAGCACAGGCUUUGCAGUUAAUAAAUUUUGAUGCUACCCAAGUCACAUAGUAUUUUUCCAGUCAUGUCAAAAAAAUAGCUCAAAUAAUGCGUUGUACAUAAGAUUUCUGAAAGACGAUCAAAUUUGAUGAGUUGAGCAGUUAACAUUGAAGAAUGGAAUAAUGAGUUGAGCAGUUAAUAUUGAAGAAUGCAAUAAGGAGCUCAAAGGCCAAAUAUGUGGCACUAGAAGCAAGGGUUAUCUCUGAGAAUUUACAACAGUGAGGUGUUUAACUAUCGAAGUUGAAGCAACCAACCAUCAACUCUUUGCAUACUUGGCCUGGAGAUGGACAUGUGAAGGAUUAUGACGAUUAUUGCACACCUUUGAACUUUCACUUUGGAACCUGCAUAUAGAGUCGGAAGGGAGGUCACUUGCUCUGCUGCUGGACUAAUCAGAUCAAGUUUCUUGCAGUGUCAAUCUGUUGGGCUGCUUUCCUGUUGUAACAGAUUCAUUUUGCACCGAAUUAAAAUAACCUGUACAUGAAGUUCGUAUUGUUUAGUUGUUAUGGCUGUGCCUUCACGACAA